CCCUUAGAUGUCCGGGGCUGCACGCGCGCUACACUGAAGGAAUCAGCGUGCUAAAACCAUUGUCGAAAGGCAUUGGUAAACCCAUUAAAAUCCUACGUGAUUGGGAUCGGGAAUUGCAAUUAUUUCCCUUGAACGAGGAAUUCCCAGUAAGUGUGGGUCAUAAGCUCGCGUUGAUUACGUCCCUGCCCUUUGUACACACCGCCCGUCGCUGCCCGGGACUGAGCCGUUUCGAGAAAAGCGGGGACUGCUGCUGUCGGGGCUCUCGGGCCUUGGCUUCGGUGGAAACCGCUUUAAUCGCAGUGGCUUGAACCGGGCAAAAGUCGUAACA
rnacentral:rRNA from 1 species